rnacentral:rRNA from 1 species
UGGGGAAUUUUGGACAAUGGGCGCAAGCCUGAUCCAGCCAUGCCGCGUGCGGGAAGAAGGCCUUCGGGUUGUAAACCGCUUUUGUCAGGGAAGAAACGACCUGUGUUAAUACCAUGGGUUAAUGACGGUACCUGGAGAAUAAGCACCGGCUAACUACGUGCCCGCAGCCGCGGUAAUACGUAGGGUGCAAGCGUUAAUCGGAAUUACUGGGCGUAAAGCGUGCGCAGGCGGCCAUGCAAGACAGAUGUGAAAUCCCCGGGCUCAACCUGGGAACUGCAUUUGUGACUGCAUGGCUAGAGUACGGUAGAGGGGGAUGGAAUUCCGCGUGUAGCAGUGAAAUGCGUAGAUAUGCGGAGGAACACCGAUGGCGAAGGCAAUCCCCUGGACCUGUACUGACGCUCAUGCACGAAAGCGUGGGGAGCAAAC